ensembl:scaRNA
CUGGAGGUUAAGAAGGUGAGUCCAGUCAAGACCAUGUGGCUCUCACUGAUACCCACCUCCUACAGCGAAGCAGCUGAGUGAACAACCUUUGCCAAGAGAAAGGCCUGGGUUACAUCUCAGCCAACACAU